rnacentral:rRNA from 1 species
AAGCGGUGGAUGAUGUGGAUUAAUUCGAUGCAACGCGAAAACCUUACCUACCCUUGACAUGUCCGGAAUCCGAAGAGAUUUGGGAGUGCUCGCAAGAGAACCGGAACACAGGUGCUGCAUGGCUGUCGUCAGCUCGUGUCGUGAGAUGUUGGGUUAAGUCCCGCAACGAGCGCAACCCUUGCCAUUAGUUGCUACGAAAGGGCACUCUAAUGGGACUGCCGGUGACAAACCGGAGGAAGGUGGGGAUGACGUCAAGUCCUCAUGGCCCUUAUAGGUGGGGCUACACACGUCAUACAAUGGCCGGUACAGAGGGUAGCCAACCCGCGAGGGGGAGCCAAUCCCACAAAGCCGGUCGUAGUCCGGAUCGCAGUCUGCAACUCGACUGCGUGAAGUCGGAAUCGCUAGUAAUCGCGGAUCAGCAUGUCGCGGUGAAUACGUUCCCGGGUCUU